CUUCACUAUUUGUCAAAACCCCCCUAUUAUUUUCGUUUCUUCUUUAAACCUAGUAAACUAUUUCCAUUUUAAUUUUUAGGAUUAGUUUUUCGUUUUAGAUUGUUUUGAAUUUAUUUUAUUUAGUCUUAUCUCCUACAGAAAUAAAAGGAUAAAGAAAAGCUCAUAAUUUAGGAUAAGAGUGAACAUGUCAAUUGAAAAUUGUCACGAGAAUACGCAAAAUAUCCAACAUAAUGGGCUUCAAGAGUUAAAAUCACCAUUGGUGAAAGGACAAUGCAAGGAUGUUGAUUAUGAAGAUGAUGAAUAUGGGAGUGAAACUCGUGAUGAUAGCUCCAUUACUAUGGUCUUGUUUAGUACUUGUGUGGCUGUUUGUGGCUCUUUUAUCUUUGGAACAUGUGUUGGAUACUCAGCGCCCACUCAAUCAGCAAUUAGGGCAGAUCUGAAUCUAUCUCUUGCACAGUACUCUACUUUCGGCUCAAUAUUAACAAUUGGUGCAAUGGUUGGUGCUGUAUCAAGUGGUCGAAUUGCAGAUUUUAGUGGUAGAAAACAGGCUAUGAGAAUGUCAGCGUGUUUCUGUAUCAUGGGGUGGCUUGCAAUCUAUUUUGCCACGGGAGCACGGUCACUUGAAAUAGGCAGGCUAUUCAGUGGAUAUGGCAUCGGAGUCCUAUCUUAUGUGGUUCCUAUAUUUAUUGCUGAAAUAUCACCAAAAGGAUUAAGAGGAGGGCUCACCACUCUAAAUCAGCUUAUGAUAGUUACUGGAUCCUCGGUCUCAUUUUUGGUAGGAUCAAUCAUCUGCUGGAGAGCUUUAGCAUUAACUGGUUUGGUGCCAUGCAUAACACUGCUUUCAGGUCUGUUCCUUGUUCCAGAGUCGCCUAGAUGGUUGGCAAAAGCCGGUCGCAAGAAAGAGUUUAUGGCGGCCUUGAGGAUCCUUCGUGGCCAAAAUGCUGAUAUAUCUCGUGAAGCAGCUGAAAUUGAGGAUUAUCUUAUGAUUCUUGAAACCUUACCUAAAGGCAGCUUCCUAGAUUUGUUUCAGAGCAAAUAUAUUCGAGCAGUUAUUAUUGGAAUUGGUCUAAUGGUGUUUCAACAAUGUGUUGGAAUAAAUGGAGUUGGUUUUUAUGUGAGCCAAACCUUCGUCGAGGCAGGGCUUUCUUCGGGAAAGCUAGGAACCAUAGCUUAUGCUACUAUACAAGUGCCAAUAACCCUUAUUGGAGCAAUACUAAUGGAUAGAUCUGGUAGAAGACCACUCAUCAUGAUUUCUGCCAUGGGAACAUUUUUUGGUUGUUUCAUCAUAGCCACCGGAUUCUUUCUCAAGAGCUAUGGGCUCCUUGUCGAAUGGGUACCCACUUUAGCAGUUGGAGGUGUCCUGACCUAUAUAUCAGCAUUUUCCAUCGGCUUUGGUGGUGUUCCUUGGGUUAUAAUGUCCGAGAUAUUUCCAAUAAAUGUGAAGGGUGUUGCUGGAAGUUUAGUAGUCCUUGUGAACUGGUCUGGAGCCUGGCUAAUUUCUUACACAUACAACUUCAUGAUGAGAUGGAGCACAUUUGGUACUUUUUAUAUAUAUGCUGCAUUUUGUGUAUUGACGAUCCUAUUCGUAGCGAAAUUUGUGCCUGAAACAAAGGGGAAGACCCUUGAAGAAAUACAGGAGUCUAUCAGGUCAAAAAGUGAAAUCUUGGAAUAAGUGUUCCUUAACUUGUCCAUAGACGAUGGCUGUAAGGAAAGAUUAGGCAAGAUCGCGGGUUUGUAGAAGAACCCUUUUGACUUGUAAUUGAGAUUGGUUGACAAUGGUUUGCUAAUAAGGGCUUAAUGGCGACUAGCUUAUGUUGGGGUGAGAGCGUUGACUUAACCUAUAUGUAGAUUUUUUAAAGUUAAGACAUCCGCUGCAAUAGUUUAGAAUUAUAGUUUGUUAUAGGAGUGUAUUAACUAAUUACAUUUUCUUUUAGUUGUAAUAGUUAAUAAUUAAUUUAUGUAUUAGUAGUAGUACCUUUUGCCUUGUUGUUAUUAAAUGUUUAAUAACCGCGACAUAACAACCCUUGAAUUGUCCAUGCUUUGUAAUCUAAUAUGUUUUCUAAAGAAA